AUUGAACGCUGGCGGCAGGCCUAACACAUGCAAGUCGAGCGGAUGAAGGGAGCUUGCUCCUGGAUUCAGCGGCGGACGGGUGAGUAAUGCCUAGGAAUCUGCCUGGUAGUGGGGGAUAACGUCCGGAAACGGGCGCUAAUACCGCAUACGUCCUGAGGGAGAAAGUGGGGGAUCUUCGGACCUCAGGCUAUCAGAUGAGCCUAGGUCGGAUUAGCUAGUUGGUAGGGUAAAGGCCUACCAAGGCGACGAUCCGUAACUGGUCUGAGAGGAUGAUCAGUCACACUGGAACUGAGACACGGUCCAGACUCCUACGGGAGGCAGCAGUGGGGAAUAUUGGACAAUGGGCGAAAGCCUGAUCCAGCCAUGCCGCGUGUGUGAAGAAGGUCUUCGGAUUGUAAAGCACUUUAAGUUGGGAGGAAGGGCAGUAAGUUAAUACCUUGCUGUUUUGACGUUACCAACAGAAUAAGCACCGGCUAACUUCGUG
rnacentral:rRNA from 1 species